AUUGAACGCUGGCGGCAUGCUUUACACAUGCAAGUCGAACGGUAACAGGUUAAGCUGACGAGUGGCGAACGGGUGAGUAAUGCAUCGGAACGUGCCCGGUCGUGGGGGAUAACGCAGCGAAAGCUGCGCUAAUACCGCAUACGAUCUGAGGAUGAAAGCGGGGGACCGUAAGACCUCGCGCGAUCGGAGCGGCCGAUGUCAGAUUAGGUAGUUGGUGGGGUAAAGGCUCACCAAGCCAACGAUCUGUAGCUGGUCUGAGAGGACGACCGGCCACACUGGGACUGAGAAACGGCCCAGACUCCUACGGGAGGCAGCAGUGGGGAAUUUUGGACAAUGGGCGAAAGCCUGAUCCAGCAAUGCCGCGUGCAGGAAGAAGGCCUUCGGGUUGUAAACUGCUUUUGUACGGAGCGAAAAGGUCUCCUCUAAUACAGGGGGCUCAUGACGGUACCGUAAGAAUAAGCACCGGCUAACUACGUGCCAGCCGCCGCAGUAA
rnacentral:rRNA from 1 species